ensembl:lncRNA
GAAGAACCACAGCGCGGGCUGGAAGAUGAGCAGGUGGUGUCGUCCUGCGGGCGGAGGGGGACAGGCCGUCCUGGAAGGAACGGCCCAGCAAAGGCACGGAGAACGGGAGUGGAACCAGGGGUGGAGGGCGAGCUAAGGCCGGAUCAGGGGGCGCCAGGAAUACCCGGCUGUGGAGUUCGGCUUGACUUUGUGGGCACAGGGGUGCCGGGAAAGGUUUUGGGCGGAGACUGGCUUCAUGUGCUCUUGAGAAAGCUCCAGGGGGUGGGCAGAGCCAGAACCGCGGGAGAGGGUGGGCGGAGGUCGUCCCGGGGCGGAGGCUCCGUGCCCUGGGCGGGGCGAGGGAGCAGGCGUGCAAGACGCGUCGGAUUGACAGAGCUUCUGACCAAUGGGAUGGGAGCGGGGGCGGGGGCGGUGAGAGGACCCGCAAGGGCCCGGGAAAACUCCGCCCCGCAGCUCAACGCCCCUCUCACCUGCUGCCAGGUGAAGGGUGGAACCCCUGCUGCCAGGCUGAGCACUGGGAUUCCUCACUGGACUCUUUUGCUGUCCGUAAGCCCGGGUGAUGCGUUCUCUGGAGGCCUUCAAGGUGCAGGAGGUGAGGGAAGGCUGCCGGGUUCCGCCAAGUUUUGUGGGUAAAUCCGCUUAUAGAAGACACAGCCGGAUUGUUCUCUGGGGGCACAUCAGGAUGGGUGCCUCCAGGAUGCAAGGACACUAUCAAGUUUGAAUAUUGGUGGGGUGGGUGAGAGGAGGGGGGCUUGGAGGGUUGCAACUUCCUGACAAGAUGGCCGCCGCUCCAUCCCUAAAUCGCCCCUGGAGAAACCAUAGGACCUUCCAGGAAGCAUGGAAUUCUAGGAACUAACAAAAAUAGGCUGGGGCACAGGGUGGUGGGAGUUGGGGGAGUUAAAAGUGAGCUGCUGGGUUGGCAGAGGGCACUUGCCUCGUCACCUGGGACCUUGGACAAUGGAUCAUGGCGGGUCCCCCAUCUCUGCAUCACCUCGGGGGCUUCUCCACGCCUUUGGGCAGCAGCUGGAGGGAAAGAAUGACCUGUUGAUUGGGAGGCUCUCCCAAGGAUAGGCAGGGAUCAUUGUCCCCUUGGUGGGCAAGAGACGCUGAGACCCAGAAGCUCAGCUGGUGGGAACCUCCCUGAGUGAAAGGAGCUUGGGGCACACCGGCCCAGCCCGGUCAGAUGAGGAAACUGGGACCGGGAGAGGGCAGAGACCUCUAAGCCCACACAACCAUCCAGCGGCGGAGCAGGGAUGGGGAGCACCUCCCAGGUCCUGGUCCAGGGUCUCCCCACUUCCUCGGGGGUGGGGGGGGCAGGCUUUGCUUCCUCAGGCCCCACCUAGGACUCACACUGCCCCCUAGACCUGGGGAGCCAGUCUGUGUCUCCCACACCACUGCCCCUCCACAUCCACGCCGUGCUAGGGUCAAGGGUGGGGAGGGGCCCGUGCAGGUUAGAACAGCCACCCUCUUUUCUCUUCACAUCCGCCCUGAACCGUUCCUCUGGCUCUCAGCUUAGACACCCUGGGUGGUUGUGCCUGCUGGGUGCAGGCAGCAUCUCUCCUCACGUGCACCCAGAGCCCCGGAAGGGCAGGAGCAGAUCUGCCUCAGCUCCCGUUUCGCACGUCCGCCUUCAGAAUCUGGCACAGGGCAGGUGCUCGGAACAGCCACGCUGACUGCUAGGAAGUGGCAGAGUCGGGACUCCAAAGCACGUGUUGAUCAAGACGCAGCUGAACAAUGAGGGGGACCCUCUGCAAAGCCCCACACUCCUCUCUCUCUGCAGCUCUUUCAUCUCUAGCCCUCUGCCCUGUGCGCGCUCGCCAGCUGGCCUGUUCAGACUCCCAGACCCAGCUCCUCAAUUCAGGGGCACUUCCAGGCUUCAUCUGGGUUCACUCGGCCUGUGGGGUGGCCGGGAAACCCUGCCCCUCUCCCGCCCCGCUGUAGGGACCGUGGUAGGAUUUGCAUAUUUUCUGCCUAUCUUAGGAUCCCAUUCACCAUACCCAGUGCCCCGAAAACCUUUAUGUCAUCCGUUUUGUCCAGUUUUAUUGUUGCGGCUCUUUCAGGCAGGAGGGUAAAAUCUAGUCUUUCUUUUUUUUGGGUUUUUAUCUUUUAGAGCCGCACCUGCGGCAUAUGGAGGUUCCCAGUCUGGGGGUCUAAUCGAAGCUAUAGCCACUGGCCUACACCACAGCCACAGCAAUGCCAGAUCAGAGGCACAUCUGCAACCUGCACCACAGCUCACGGCAACGCCGGAUCCUUAACCCACUGAGCAAGGCCAGGGAUGGAACCCGCAACCUCACGGUUCCUAGUUGGAUUCGUUAACCACUCUGCCACGAUGGGACCUCCUAAAAUCUAGUCUUUCUUUUUUUUUUGGCUUUUUAUCUUUUAGAGCCGCACCUGCGGCAUAUGGAGGUUCCCAGUCUGGGGGUCUAAUCGAAGCUGUAGCCACUGGCCUACACCACAGCCACAGCAAUGCCAGAUCCGAGGCACAUCUGCAACCUGCACCACAGCUCACGGCAACGCCGGAUCCUUAACCCACUGAGCAAGGCCAGGGAUGGAACCCGCAACCUCACGGUUCCUAGUUGGAUUCGUUAACCACUGUGCCACGAUGGGAACUCCUAAAAUCUAGUCUUUAUUAGUCCAUCUUUGACAGGCAUGUAAGUCUGUGUUAUUAGCUGUCGUUGCAGCGUGGUCACCACGGGGGAAUGUUGACAGACAGCUGGGUAGUAAUGUUUUGGCUGCGAGAAAUCACGACCUCACGACGGUUAUUCUGUAUGCAUGUAUCUUGUGUAGUCCAUCAUGGGAAUUUAUUUAUUUAUUUAUUUUGCUUGUUAGGGCCACUCCCACGGCAUAUGGAGGUUCCCAGGCUAGGGGUCGAAUUGGAGCUGUAGCCGCCGGCCUACGGCAGAGCCACAGCAACGCGGGAUCUGAGCCGCGUCUUUGACCUACACCACAGCUCACGGCAACGCCGGAUCCUUAACCCACUGAGGGAGGCCCGGGAUCGCACCUGCAGCCUCAUGGUUCCUAGUUGGGUUCCUUUCCGCUGCGCCACGACGAGACCUCCUCCAUAUCUUUAUUUAUCUGCCUCUGUUGUUGAUGUGUUAUCUUCUGGCUUCCAUCUGGAACCAUCCUUUCCGCCUGAAAACACUCUUGGCACAUUCCCUUUUGUGCAGAUGUGCUGAUGGCGAAUUCUUCUGGCUUUAUUAGUUUGAGAAUAUCUUUGUUUUCCCUUUAUCCUUGAAGGAUGCUUUUGCAGCUACUGAAGUCUAGGUUAGUGGUAUUUUAGCGCUUUGUUUGUUUACUUUCUGCUUUUGAGGGCCACACCUUCAGCAUAUGGCAGUUCCCAGGCUAGGGGUGGAAUUGGAGCCANGCCAUUG